AACGCACAUUGCGCCCCCUGGUAUUCCGGGGGGCAUGCCUAUUCGAGCGUCAUUAUCACCCCUCAAGCCUAGCUUGGUGUUGAGGCCUGCUGUCAAGGCAGCCUCUAAAAUCAGUGGCAGUGCUGUCAGGCUCUAAGCGUAGUAAAAUAAAUCGCGAUAGGGUCCUGGUGGACACUCGUCAGAACCCCCCCAUUUUUUAAUGAUUGACCUCGGAUUAGGUAGGGAUACCCGCUGAACUUAA
rnacentral:misc_RNA from 1 species